rnacentral:rRNA from 1 species
GACGAACGCUGGCGGCGUGCUUAACACAUGCAAGUCGAACGGAAAGUCCCUGCUUUUUUGGGGUGCUCGAGUGGCCAACGGGUGAGUAACACGUGAGUAACCUUCCCUCGACUUUGGGAUAACUUCAAGAAACUGGUGCUAAUUCCGGAUAGGAGGUCCUGCUGCAUGGUGGGGGUUUGAAAGUUUCGGCGGUUGGGGAUGGACUCGCGGCUUAUCAGCUUGUUGGUGGGGUAUUGGCUUACCAAGGCUUUGACGCGUACCCGGCCUGAGAGGGUGACCGGCCACAUCGGAACUGGAAUAAGGCACAGACUACUCUGGGACGCAGCAGUGGAGUAGAUUGCACAAUGGGAGGAAGGCAGAUCUAGUACAGCCGCGUGGGGGAUGACGGCCAUCGGUUUGUAAUCUGCUUUCGUAUGUGCCGAAGCGUGAGUGACGGUACUGGGUAAAGAAGCACCGGCUAACUACGUG